GCCAGUGAAGAAUCUCAUCCCUACUAUAGUCCACACUCGCAUGUACCACAGUGCCAAAAAGGUCCAAGAGCCUCCUCCAUCACAACCCAACCCUAGCGUCACCCCAGUUCUGCUCGCAGAGCUUUCCCCUUGAAGAGCAUCCAUACUCAGACUUCUCCAAUUCGAUGAAAGCUCAAAACUUUCGCUCUGGGUUUUGCUCAAAUCCGUCAAUUUCGGUACCCCCAAAGCACUCCUUAAAAUUACCUUCGAUUUCAUCUAUUUGUGUUACUCAAUCCCGCAAGUGGACCCAAUCCAUCUCUACUGUAAAGGCAUGGUCAGAGAAUAGAUUACAGUGUAGAAACUGUGUGGAGAAGCAAGCAAACGAUGUCGUGUUAGCCGAGGAGGAUUUGGAAUAUGGGGUUAAAAGGAAGAAGUUUGCGGUUUUUGUGUCCGGCGGCGGUUCCAACUUCAAAUCCAUUAACGAGGCAUGUGGUGCAGGAUUGGUUCUUGGAGAUGUCGUCGUUUUGGUUACGAACAAACAGGGUUGUGGAGGAGCAGAGUAUGCUAGAACUAAGGGUAUCCCAGUUAUAUUGUUUCCUAAAGCAAAAGAUGAACCCAAUGGAUUGUCUCCAACAGACCUUGUAAAUGCUCUUAGGGGAUUUGAGGUUGACUUUAUUCUUCUUGCCGGGUAUGUAAAGCUUAUACCGUUGGAGUUGAUUCGAGCUUAUCCCAGAUCUAUUUUAAAUAUCCAUCCAGCGCUCCUUCCAGCUUUUGGAGGCAAAGGCUAUUAUGGUAUGAAGGUGCAUGAAGCAGUUGUUGCUUCUGGAGCAAGAACAGAUACUCUGGUCCAACUAUUCAUUUUGUUGAUGAGCAUUAUGACACCGGACGCAUCCUUGCUCAAAGGGUUGUGCCUGUGCUUGCAAAUGACAGUCCAAAAGAGCUGGCUGCAAGGGUUCUUCGAGAGGAGCAUAAGUUAUACGUCGAGGUAGUGGCGGCAUUAUGUGAAGAGAGGAUAUUUUGGAGAGAAGACGGUGUCCCCCUCAUUCGGGACAAAGAUGACCCGAAUGAAUAUAUUUAGUUUCUGGCUUAUAAGUUAUAACUUACCGCUCCCUUGAACUCUGCAGCCAUAUUUUGAAACUGUUGACUAUUUGAGCAUAAAUAGAGGAGAUGGCUGAAGGAUUAUCAAGCUUUUGGAGUCCAGCCACAUCCACGAUCGAGUGUUGUGAGACCAAUUAUUCCCUCUCUUCUUAUAUUGCGGAAUUUUACAACACCCUAUCGAACAUUCAGCAAUCAUUUUUGCACUUGUUGGCCUUAUAAAUGCAUUAAGAUGAACGGUUUGAGAAGAAAUUCACAGUUCUUGACAUAUCCAAUAUGAUACUUUCUAUUGGAAUCAUGUUAUAUCAUCAAGCUACAUUGCAAUAAGUGUAUGAAUCACUUUCAUCUAUUUAUUUUGUUGGUUGUUCCCUUA